AUUGAACGCUGGCGGCAGGCCUAACACAUGCAAGUCGAACGAGUGGCGGACGGGUGAGUAAUUUCUGGGAACCUGCCUGAUGUAGGGGGAUAACUACUGGAAACGGUAGCUAAUACCGCUUACCAUCGGAUGUGCCCAGAUGGGAUUAGCUAGUGGGUGGGGUAAAGGCUCACCUAGGCGACGAUCCCUAGCUGGUCUGAGAGGCUGACCGGCCACACUGGAACUGAGACAAGGUCCAGACUCCUACGGGAGGCAGCAGUGGGGAAUAUUGCGCAAUGGGCGCAAGCCUGAUGCAGCCAGGCCGCGUGUAUGAAGAAGGCCUUCGGGUUGUAAAGUACUUUCGGUAGCGAGGCGGUAACUAAAGAAGAAGCAACGGCUAACUCCGUGCCAGCAGCCGAGGUAAUUC
rnacentral:rRNA from 1 species